UACGGGGGGAGCAAGCGUUGUUCGGAUUUACUGGGCGUAAAGGGCGCGUAGGCGGUCAGCACAAGUCAGUUGUGAAAUCUCCGGGCUCAACCCGGAAAUGGCAUUGGAAACUACCUUGCUGGAGGAUUUGAGGGGGGAUUGGAAUACUUGGUGUAGCAGUGAAAUGCGUAGAUAUCAAGUGGAACACCAGUGGCGAAGGCGAAUCCCUGGAAAAUACCUGACACUGAGGCACGAAAGCUAGGGGAGCAAACAGG
rnacentral:rRNA from 1 species